rnacentral:rRNA from 1 species
AUUGAACGCUGGCGGCAGGCCUAACACAUGCAAGUCGAGCGAGCGGCGGACGGGUGAGUAAUGUAUCGGGAUCUGCCCGAUAGAGGGGGAUAACUACUGGAAACUGUGGCUAAUACCGCAUACUAUCGGAUGAACCCCAAUGGGAUUAGCUUGUUGGUGGGGUAAAGGCUCACCAAGGCGACGAUCUCUAGCUGGUUUUAGAGGACGAUCAGCCACACUGGGACUGAGACACGGCCCAGACUCCUACGGGAGGCAGCAGUGGGGAAUAUUGGACAAUGGGCGCAAGCCUGAUGCAGCCAUGCCGCGUGUAUGAAGAAGGCCUUAGGGUUGUAAAGUACUUUAAGCAGGGAGGCGUUACCCGCAGAAGAAGCACCGGCUAACUCCGUGCCAGCAGCCGCGGUAAUUC